rnacentral:rRNA from 1 species
AUUGAACGCUGGCGGCAGGCUUAACACAUGCAAGUCGAGCGGGGGAAGGUAGCUUGCUACCGGACCUAGCGGCGGACGGGUGAGUAAUGCUUAGGAAUCUGCCUAUUAGUGGGGGACAACAUCUCGAAAGGGAUGCUAAUACCGCAUACGUCCUACGGGAGAAAGCAGGGGAGCUUGGGACCUCGCGCUAAUAGAUGAGCCUAAGUCGGAGUAGCUAGUUGGUGGGGUAAAGGCCUACCAAGGCGACGAUCUGUAGCGGGUCUGAGAGGAUGAUCCGCCACACUGGGACUGAGACACGGCCCAGACUCCUACGGGAGGCAGCAGUGGGGAAUAUUGGACAAUGGGGGGAACCCUGAUCCAGCCAUGCCGCGUGUGUGAAGAAGGCCUUAUGGUUGUAAAGCACUUUAAGCGAGGAGGAGGCUACUUUAGUUAAUACCUAGAGAUAGUGGACGUUACUCGCAGAAUAAGCACCGGCUAACCCUGUGCCAGCCGCCGCCGUAA